GCCGACUUAGCUCAAUGGUAGAGCAACUGUUUUGUAAACAGUAGGUUAUGGGUUCAAAUCCCUUAGUCGGCU
rnacentral:tRNA from 1 species